rnacentral:rRNA from 1 species
UACGGGGGGAGCAAGCGUUGUUCGGAUUUACUGGGCGUAAAGGGCGCGUCGGCGGCCAGCACAAGUCAGUUGUGAAAUCUCCGAGCUUAACUCGGAAAGGUCAACUGAUACUGUGCGGCUAGAGUGCGGAAGGGGCAACUGGAAUUCUUGGUGUAGCGAUGAAAUGCGUAGAUAUCAAGAGGAACACCUGCGGCGAAGGCGGGUUGCUGGGCCGACACUGACGCUGAGGCGCGAAAGCCAGGGGAGCGAACGGG